AGUGAACGCUGGCGGUAGGCCUAACACAUGCAAGUCGAACGGCAGCACAGGAGGACUUGCUCUCUGGGUGGCGAGUGGCGGACGGGUGAGGAAUACAUCGGAAUCUGCCCAGUCGUGGGGGGGAACGUAGGGAAACUUACGCUAAUACCGCAUACGACCUUCGGGGGUAAGAGGGGGAGCGCAAGACCUCUCGCGAUUGGAUGAGCCGAUGUCGGAUUAGCUAGUUGGCGGGGUAAUGGCCCACCAAGGCGACGAUCCGUAGCUGGUCUGAGAGGAUGAUCAGCCACACUGGAACUGAGACACGGUCCAGACUCCUACGGGAGGCAGCAGUGGGGAAUAUUGGACAAUGGGCGCAAGCCUGAUCCAGCCAUACCGCGUGGGUGAAGAAGGCCUUCGGGUUGUAAAGCCCUUUUGUUGGGAAAGAAAUCUUUCAGGCUAAUACCCUGGGAGGAUGACGGUACCCAAAGAAUAAGCACCGGCUAACUUCGUG
rnacentral:rRNA from 1 species